rfam:Capsicum annuum cultivar Zunla-1 chromosome 3, whole genome shotgun sequence
AUGUCAUGAUGUAGGCAUUUUCUUAGCAUUAUGUUUAACCUUUCCCAAGCUUGAUAGACUGAUUCAGUAUCAAUCUGUAGAAAAUUUGAUAUAUCCUAUCUUAAUUU